rnacentral:rRNA from 1 species
CCCGGUGAGACUUGUCUUUAACGGCCGCAGUUAGUAGCUGUGCUAAGGUAGCGUAAUCAGUUGCCCCUUAAUUAGGGGAAGGAAUGAAUGGUUUGACGUGAUGAACUCUGUCUUUAGGACAAUACAAGAAUUUUCCGUUUCAGUGAAGAGGCUGGAUUUUCUUUAUCAGACGAGAAGACCCUGUCGAGCUUGAUUAAUAUAGUAAAUUUUUACUGGUAAAAAUUUGGUUGGGGCAAUCUAGGAGCAAAAACAGCCUCCUUUUUUUAGGCACAGAGCCAAAAUUUUUGAAAUCGGAAAAAGCUACCGUAGGGAUAACAGCGUUAUCUUUUCUGAGAGAACAUAUUGAAGAAAGG